GGCGAGUGAGCGGCAAAAGCUCAAAUUUGAAAUCUAGCACCUUCGGUGUUCGAGUUGUAAUUUGAAGAUGGUAACCUUGGGUUUGGCUCUUGUCUAUGUUCCUUGGAACAGGACGUCAUAGAGGGUGAGAAUCCCGUCUGAUGAGAUGCCCAUUCCUAUGUAAGGUGCUAUCGAAGAGUCGAGUUGUUUGGGAAUGCAGCUCUAAGUGGGUGGUAAAUUCCAUCUAAAGCUAAAUAUUGGCGAGAGACCGAUAGCGAACAAGUACAGUGAUGGAAAGAUGAAAAGAACUUUGAAAAGAGAGUGAAAAAGUACGUGAAAUUGUUGAAAGGGAAGGGCAUUAGAUCAGACUUGGUGUUUUACGAUUAUCUUCUCUUCUUGAGUUGUGCACUCGUAUUUCACUGGGCCAGCAUCGAUUCGGAUGGCAAGAUAAUGGCAGUUGAAUGUGGCUUCACUUCGGUGGAGUGUUAUAGCUUCUGCUGAUAUUGCCUGUCUGGAUCGAGGGCUGCGUCUUUUGACUAGGAUGCUGGCGUAAUGAUCUAAUGCCGCCCGUCUUGA
rnacentral:rRNA from 1 species